rnacentral:rRNA from 1 species
UACGGGGGGGGCAAGCGUUGUUCGGAAUUACUGGGCGUAAAGGGCUCGUAGGUGGCCAACUAAGUCAGACGUGAAAUCCCUCAGCUUAACUGGGGAACUGCGUCUGAUACUGGAUGGCUUGAGUUUGGGAGAGGGAUGCGGAAUUCCAGGUGUAGCGGUGAAAUGCGUAGAUAUCUGGAGGAACACCGGUGGCGAAGGCGGCAUCCUGGACCAACACUGACACUGAUGAGCGAAAGCCAGGGGAGCGAACGGG